AAGACCGAGACAAAAUAUAAUUGAAAUUCUAAUGAUGAUCAUUGUUCAUUCAAUUUAAGUUACCUUCGCCUUCCUUUUGUUUGUGUUCUCUAUCUAUGGCGAUGUAGUAUUUCUGAAAGUGAAGCUUUUAUGUAGUAUUAACUUUUUUACUUGAAGUGUCGAAUUUUCCCAGUUUUCAGAUGUUAUUUUUGAAUCUGGCAACUUUUAUGCGGAACAGAGCAGUAUGAUUCAUGAAUCCGUGGAGAGGGAAAAUGCUCACAAUCGUACAAUUGCAAUGUGGGGAUUUUCACUCCUGGACUAGAUAAAUGGUGGUCUGAUCUGAAUGUUUAUGGAUGUGUUGAGUGAGGGAGCUUUCAUCACUGGCUCAGGAACAGAUGGAGAUGAACACAGUGAUUGCAGAAAAUGCAGACCACAUACAUCCUACAUAUGAUACAACUGUGGAGGUAGAUGUGCGAACAAUCAGUAAUAGAUAUAGCAAAUUAGAAAGGAAGGAAAUGUAUGUUAAGACUGGAUAUAUCUGAAGAAAAGUUUCUCCACUACUUUUGGGAAUGUUGGAACCAGCUGAAGAAAUUUUUGUUAUCAGCAGAAUAUCACAUAUGAUUACUUGCCUACGCCUCCAUUUUUCCAGUUUCUUACUGUAUUGGCCUUCAAAAAAGGAUAAUUUUGUGAUAAGGUAGAUGUUGCUAUCAUUGAAGUUGUCCUUGGGGGUCAGGGACUCAACAAAUGCUAUCAAGAAUCCUGUUGUCUGUGGUGUAAGGCCGCUGGGCAUGGACCAUAUGGAAAUGCUCGCUUCGGCCUUAUUCAUUUCAUAUUCAUUGUCCAUCUGUUUGUUCACACAUAGCCAUCACCUUAUGUGUAUUCACAAUGACUUGCAGGAGAUCAGAUUGCUUCUCACAAAGCUGGAAUCUUAAAGUUUAUUCUGAAACGGGUUGUUGAUGGAUUCUCUGCUCCGUAAGCCUCGCGUUCCUGCAUUCACGUACCACAACUAUCUGAAGCAAUGGAUUUUCUUCAAGAAAAGGCGAGGGAUUUGAUGUUGUACUUGUUGAUACCUGUGCAUUGUCGGAGACACAAUCAGAUCUUCCAUUUGAUCAGUAUAUCUAUGUGACUAUGUGCAUACAUAUGAACCUUACUUGUAUUCAGGCACACAUUUGCGAAAGCCAUUUUCGUUCUGGCAUCUCGACUUACAUGAAGGUGACUUCUGCCUCCUCCUUUCUUCAGGGAUAC